AAAUAUGCAUUUAAACAGACUGAAAUCACCUUAGGAAAAUAACCUUCAAGCAGAUGUGAAACAUACUUUCUAUUAAACCCACAGUUCUGUAUU